ACGCUCGACACCUACGGGAUGCAGCAGUAGGGAAUCUUCCACAAUGGACGCAAGUCUGAUGGAGCAACGCCGCGUGAGUGAAGAAGGUUUUCGGAUCGUAAAGCUCUGUUGUUGGUGAAGAAGGAUAGAGGUAGUAACUGGCCUUUAUUUGACGGUAAUCAACCAGAAAGUCACGGCUAACUACGUGCCGCNNCGCGAGUAUNGCGGGCGUGGCGAACGGACG
rnacentral:rRNA from 1 species